rnacentral:rRNA from 1 species
UACGUAGGGCGCGAGCGUUGUCCGGAAUUAUUGGGCGUAAAGAGCUCGUAGGCGGCCUGUUGCGUCCGCUGUGAAAUCCCAGGGCUCAACCCUGGGCGUGCAGUGGAUACGGGCAGGCUGGAGGCAGGCAGGGGAGAACGGAAUUCCCGGUGUAGCGGUGAAAUGCGCAGAUAUCAGGAGGAACACCGGUGGCGAAGGCGGCCUGCUGGGCUAUGGCUGACACUGAGGCGCGACAGCGUGGGGAGCAAACAGG